CAAAUACUCCCUCCGUCCGGAAUUACUCGUCACGGAAAUGGAUAAAAAUAGAUGUAUCUAGAACUAAAUAACGUAUAGAUACAUCCAUUUCUUCGACAAGUAAUUUCGGACGGAGAGUAGUUA
rfam:Triticum aestivum genome assembly, contig: Triticum_aestivum_CS42_TGACv1_scaffold_177143_2DS